rnacentral:rRNA from 1 species
AACGAACGCUGGCGGCGUGCUUAACACAUGCAAGUCGUACGAGAAAGUUCCGGCAACGGAAUGAGUAAAGUGGCGCACGGGUGAGUAACACGUGGGUAAUUUACCUUUAAGUUGAGAAUAACCUUGCGAAAGUGGGGCUAAUACUCAAUAAGACCACGAUGACUCAGGUUAUUGCGGUAAAAGAAGGCCACUGAUUUAAGCUUUCACUUAAAGAUAAGCCCGCGGACCAUUAGCUAGUUGGUAAGGUAAUGGCUUACCAAGGCAACGAUGGUUAGCUGGUCUGAGAGGAUGAUCAGCCACACUGGAACUGGAACACGGUCCAGACUCCUACGGGUGGCUG